rnacentral:rRNA from 1 species
UACGUAGGGUGCAAGCGUUGUCCGGAAUUAUUGGGCGUAAAGAGCUCGUAGGCGGUACUGUCACGUCGGCUGUGAAAUCCCGAGGCUCAACCUCGGGUCUGCAGUCGAUACGGGCAAACUAGAGUAUUGCAGGGGAGACUGGAAUUCCUGGUGUAGCGGUGAAAUGCGCAGAUAUCAGGAGGAACACCGGUGGCGAAGGCGGGUCUCUGGGCUGUAACUGACGCUGAGGAGCGAAAGCGUGGGGAGCGAACAGG